UACCUUAUAGUAUCCAUCUCGUAUGGAUUAAAGCUUUAUGCGCUUUGGAGGGGCCUGCGUUUGAUUAGCUAGUUGGUGAGGUAAAAGGGCUCACCAAGGCGACGAUCAAUAGCUGGUUUGAGAGGAUGACCAGCCACACUGGGACUGAGAUACGGCCCAGACUCCUACGGGAGGCAGCAGUAAGGAAUCUUCCACAAUGGGGCAACCCUGAUGGAGCAAUACCGCGUGCAGGAUGAAGCGUUUCGGCGUGUAAACUGCUUUUAUCACCGAAGAUUAUGACUGUAGGUGAAGAAUAAGGACCGGCUAACUACGUG
rnacentral:rRNA from 1 species